GGCCUUUUGAUAAUAAUUUAAGGUCUAGCCUGCCCMAUGAAGAUUUAAAUGGCCGCGGUAAUUUGACCGUGCAAAGGUAGCAUAAUCAUUAGUUUUUUAAUUGAAAGCUGGAAUGAAAGGUUGGAUGAGAAAGAAGCUGUCUCUGUUUAAUUUAUUUAGAAUUUUAUUUUUAAGUUAAAAAGCUUAAAUUUAAAUAGAAGACGAGAAGACCCUAUAGAGUUUUAUUAUUUUUUUUUAUAAAAAUAAUAGUAUUUUAAAAUUUUAUAGAUAAAAUUAAUUUAGUUGGGGUGAUUGAAAAAUUAAAUUAACUUUUUUUUUAUAAAUACAUUUAUAUAUGAUUAUUUGAUCCUUAAUUUGAGAUUAAAAGAUAAAAUUACCUUAGGGAUAACAGCGUAAUUUUUUUUGAGAGUUCUAAUCGAAAAAAAAGAUUGCGACCUCGAUGUUGGAUUAAAAUAAAAUUUUGGUGUARAAGCUAAAAUAUUUAGGUCUGUUCGACCUUUAAAAUUUUACUUGAU
rnacentral:rRNA from 1 species